UUUUGUAACUAUCAUGGGCCAACAUGGCCACAACUCAUAAUGUACAAGUGUAAGUGGGAAAAUACUGUAUCACUGAAUCAUUUUUCUUAAAACAUGAAUACAUAUGCGUCGUCAAGGCCUCUACAUACUGUACAAAAUGAACCUCUGUCUACAAAGCCUCUAAUAUUAUUUGACAUCAAAUGGGACAGGGUACUGGCCUACCCAUAAGUCUGUAGCAAAACCCUGACACGAUGAUUCAUAGACUCGGCUGCACUCCGAAUGAGGUGGAGUCUUACCAAUUCUUUGCUAGAUGCCAAUCUCGUCUUCUAUGAGAGCUCGUCAAAUUGAUUAUCUAUACCUGAAGGCAUAAAUGCAGCGUCCCCAACAAAAGGACGUCAGUACGAAUAAUGUACUGAGUAUGUAAGGCAGAACUGAAACAUAACCAUAAUUCAACAUUAAUUAAAGACAUAUAAGAAUCAACCUGAAUCUCUGAAGUACCACCAUAUAUGCGUACUCAUUAUACUUAUAUAUAUAAUGCUUCUUUUUGAGACUAUUAUCCAUAUCGUAUGAUGCAUGACUACCCAACUAAUUAGUGGUAACUGUCUGACCGGCCGUAGCUCGGUGGUAAAUGCAUAACUGCCCAACCGAUGGUAAAUGAUAAUACAUAACUGUCCAACCGGUGGUAACUGCCCGACCUGCCAUAGCUCGAUGGUAGAUGUACAACUGCCCAACCGACCGUAGCACGGUGGUAAAUAUAUAACUAUCCAUCCGGCCAUAGCACGGUGGUAACUGCCCGACCUGCCAUAGCUUGGUGGUAGAUGUAUAAUUGCCCAACCGACCAUAGUACGGUGGUAAAUAUGUAACUGCCCAUCCGGCUAUAGCACGGUAGUAAAUGCAUGACUGCCAUACUUUGUUAGGAAAUACAGCUGUAAUUUAGGCUAGUGACUACAAAAAGAACCAAAUGAAAUGAAAAUUAUUUUUUUAGUGGAAGCUUUCUGCUCGGAGUAAUAUCCAUGAAAUAAAAAUUAUAUUUAUGGAAACACUCCAAAAAUGAAGUACCAAAUCUGUGUAAUUAGUACACAACUAAACUGACAUACAAUUUCCUCUCACCCACUUAGUCAAGUAAGCUGCAAAUAAGUAUGAAUAUGGUCAGAGCAUCUUAAUAUCUUAUUACAUUAAAUUUGUCUCCGUCUUUUUCUUGCUUUCUCUAUAUCAUUAAUGUAUUAAAAUUAAGGAUUAAAUUGGAACAAGAUUGUUCUCAGAACACGUGAAGGGGCUAGAAUGUGAUCUUAAUAAAUCUCAGAAAAGUCAUGAACACAGGAUGCCAACUAUUACACGUAAUUAAUGUCCUCAAAUUGAUAUGCAUGAUAGUAGGGGAACAAAUAACAUAUACAUCCUUAACUGCUAAGAGUAGAGAUACUUAUGGAAUAUCAUUACGUUUACGUAUCGUUACUUGGAUCAUGCCAAAAGAAAGAAGGAAUAGCCAUAACAUACCUGGAGUAGCGAAAAAUCUGUGUGAUAUUCUUGGAAAAUGUUACACCGUACUCCUUUAGAACCACAAAUUUUUAUGUUGCUAAGGUUCUAAUAAUUCUUGUUGGAAUCGAUUUGAUCGCAAGAAUUUUGUAUGUAGGAAAUCUCUAACGUUCUGGUUGUAGGAACUUUGUAGGAAUUUUGUAAGAACUUUCAUUUCUAUGGUACCAAACCUCCUAUUUGAUUGUAGUAUUGAAAGUGUUAGAAAUGAAGUAGUGAUCCCAUCUGAUUGAUUCAUGUCAUUUAAGACAUUUAAUGGUCCCCUUUUCCCAAAAUGGUAUAUGAUUCAUGUUAGAAGACUUGUCAAAUUCUCAAAUCUUGUCACAUAUUAAUAAAUAUGCCACCUAUCACUCAAUUGUAAGAGUCACAAUUUGGACAUGGCCUUGCUGCCACAUGACAUUUUGGUCUUUAUCCAAAAGACCUUAAUUAA
rnacentral:lncRNA from 1 species